ensembl:lncRNA
AAGUAAAUGAGGAGAAAAACAGUGUGGAUCUGAAGAUCUCCUCUGCUUCAGCAUCAGACUCUGCAAUGUACUACUGUGCCCUGCAGCCCACAGUGACAGGAAACACAUCAACACUGUACAAAAAUGAAGGGGAAAACUCAGCAAAGGUCAAGCAGUUUUAAAUUGUGCUUAAGUAAUUUCUAAUGUGUCUAAUAGCAGUACAGACUCUUUCAAUUCUACAAUGGCAAAAAUGUGUUGAUAAAGAUCUAUAGUGCAGCAACACACUUCUCCUCAUUCUAGUAAUGAUUCAGCUUUGCCUCACUGAUUUUGCAAUUCUUACAGGUAUAUAAAUUUGAUAUUUGCAUAUGUUAAUAUAUCUAGCAUAUCUAUAGUCCUAUAAAAGAUUCAUAUUAAUGAAAAUAUAAAAUGCUGCUGUUGAUAUUUUACUAGCGAGUAUUUUGCAAAUGCAAUAAAAUCCCUCUGAAAAGUGCAAUUUAGUAACUGAAAGGAAUGUUAUUAGCAAAAGCUACAAAAGCAAAUCAUGUUGAUGUGCUGUACUGCAGUGAAGGACCCUGGACUAAAAUACUACAAGGAGACAAAAAACGCUGCAGAGAAAUUCAUUUGACUCUGAAGGUGGAGUUUUGUGUCUCUGGGAUCUUACAAAAGUGGAGGUGUAUCUGAAACAAAGAAACAAACUUCUUGAAUUUGGCAUCCAAUAUAUCAAUCAUUAUGUUCAUCUUCACACUUAUUAGUUUAUGGAUUCAUCUGGGUGACACAGAGGCAAAUGCAAUCAUCCCACUAUUACCUAUUAUGAGCACUGUUGUAGGUGAAAAUGUAACCAUAUCCUAUAGUUACAAAGGAUUCACAGGAAGAGUGCUGAAUGCACAGUGGUACAGACAAUAUCCGAGAUCAAAACCAGUCUUCCGUACCCACAGCUAUUCACACAAAGGUCCAGACUUACCAAUAACCAUAUCAAGAUUUUCUGGCAAAUUUGAUCAGGACCUCCAACAAGUGGAUCUACAGAUCUCAAAAGUUUUUUUGACAGAUUCAGCUGUGUACUACUGUGCACUGCAGCCCACAAUCACAGGAAACUAAGAGUUCCUAUACAAAAACAUACUAUAUUUCAGAUUUAAGGCCUUUCACGUCAUAGUUUUGGAGAUUCUGUUGAUUUCAAAAGCUAACAUGACAUGAUUUGGACUUUGUCCCAAUACUGUAACAAUUUAAAUUGCAGAUAAAUGAUAACCAACUUUUUUUUUCAAAAACCAAUCAGGUAACAACCAACUUCUCCUCAAUUCACCAAUGUCCUUAUGAUACAUUUAAGAUGGAUAUUAUUGAUGCCUUUACUUGCUAGUUUUAAUGUGUUGGUUGGUUUCAAUGUACUGUACAUAAAAAAUACACAACAAAUACAAAAAAAAAAUGACUUUUUGCAGUAGAAGAUUUCAGUUGUGGGAAAUAUCACUUAUAAUUUCUAAGAAUCAACAGAGGGUCCCACAAUCCUUUGGGUGGAGCUUGAUGAGAAUGAGUACAGCAGAAGGCAGUCCUGUGUUUCUCCAAAUCUCAUUUUGCAGAUGAUCUCCCACAGUCAUGAUGAUUUUGUUUUACCUUGUUUUACCGUUCACCUUCUGUCUGUGGACCAUCACUCACCUGCCGUCUGCGAGUUGUUCGCACCGGACACGAGGACGGAGAACUGUUGUUGCUCUUUGAUCUUCUGGCACUGGAUUCCGGUCCCUAUCAUCUGUCCGUGAAGGAUCUUCAUUUUUGUUAUUUCUCAGAUCUGCGUCUGUUGACGGCAGUCUCCUUGUUUAAAGUUAUCGAACAAUAAACUGUACUGCAUACCUCUGCUCUUGGGUCCU